CUACAAUCCUGUUUCAUAGAGUAAGCAAAAUUUUUAAAUAUUGAAAACCUAGGAAGUAAUUUAGUUAUCUGACAUUAGGUUUUGAGUAACUAUUUAGUAUAUCUGCAUAACCAGCUGCCUCAUGCCUGUUUCCCCAUGCUACCCUUUUCCUUCCCAGCAAAUGUUAAAAAAAAAAAGGUCCAAGAUUCUAUUGCAUUAAUACAGGAACAAAAUAGUUCAGUACUAUUUUGAUUUGAGAGUAAAGGAAUUUGAACAAAGUUUAAUAUUACUACCACCAGAAAGAAGAAAAUGGUCUUACCUAUGUUUGAGUAAGAUACCAAAUUUUAUGUCAACUUCAGGCUGUUAUUUUCACUUGCAUUUGACCUUUGUCGUUUUGCCAAAUCUUACCCAGAAACAAAAAAAGUCUUAAAUUGGGAAUAUAUUUACUUGGCAUUCUUAAAGAAAGAUCAAGUUUGAUAGCUUUUAGAUUGAAUUCAAAGCACAAACUUU
rnacentral:lncRNA from 1 species